rnacentral:rRNA from 1 species
GAGGAAUAUUGGUCAAUGGGCGAGAGCCUGAACCAGCCAAGUAGCGUGCAGGAUGACGGCCCUAUGGGUUGUAAACUGCUUUUGUAUGGGGAUAAAGUCAAUCACGUGUGAUUGUUUGCAGGUACCAUACGAAUAAGGACCGGCUAAUUCCGUGCCAGCAGCCGCGGUAAUACGGAAGGUCCGGGCGUUAUCCGGAUUUAUUGGGUUUAAAGGGAGCGUAGGCCGGAGAUUAAGUGUGUUGUGAAAUGUAGACGCUCAACGUCUGACUUGCAGCGCAUACUGGUUUCCUUGAGUACGCACAACGUUGGCGGAAUUCGUCGUGUAGCGGUGAAAUGCUUAGAUAUGACGAAGAACUCCGAUUGCGAAGGCAGCUGACGGGAGCGCAACUGACGCUUAAGCUCGAAGGUGCGGGUAUCGAACAGGAUUAGAUACCCUGGUAGUCCGCACAGUAAACGAUGGAUGCCCGCUGUUGGUACCUGGUAUCAGCGGCUAAGCGAAAGCAUUAAGCAUCCCACCUGGGGAGUACGCCGGCAACGGUG